GACAGCCUGCUUGGUGUCAUAUUUACAUAGCUUGCUUGGUGAAAUUCUGUUUAUAGUGUCUCAUUAUUUAAGCCACCGAUCAUAGUUUAAUUUGUUAAACAAUAAGCAAUAAAAUCCUCCACUCUCAUUAUUUAAUUCUGUUUGGCAAUGGAGCUAGCUUCUCAUACAUCUAUCUUUUCAUUUAGCUAGCUAGCUAACUUGGUCCAUUUCAAUUAAACAUCUAUCUUUUCAUCUAUCUUCUCAUGCAUCUAAUUCUGUUUGGCAGUAAAUGUUGGUUAAGACGAGGAGCGAGUAGAGGAAGCAGCGUGGAUGGCCGGUGCGGCCAGACCUCUAGGCCACGCCGCAUGCGGCGGAGCCUGUGGGCGUCCGAAUCAAUUCGAAGGCGAGGCUGCUGUCUGGAUCCGGAGCACGGGCGGCGAAUGGAGCCACCACGUUCGUGCACUCUAGGAGUGAAUGGCAAGAUGAGGCUAUGGCAAAGGAUCUCAAAGGCCAUGGCGCUAGCUACUUAUGGGGACAACCACACCGUGUACUGUCUCGAUCUAAUUCACGUAACCACAUAUAUCAUUCAUGGAUUGGAGAGACGGUGCGAGGCCCAAGAUAAUCCACUUGAUAUUACAGGUAUAAUGAUGCAAUUCACACAAAUGACAAGCUUAUCAAGAUUGCCAGCGAGAUCUUGCACGAUUUGUUAUCUGGCUCAUCCUCAAGCCAAGUUUCCGACAGGGACAUGGCUGUACACUUGCGACUUCACCAGAAAUUUGUGUGCACAUACUCCACUGUCUGUCGAAACUUGGUCUGACCUGAGAGGUUGUAGCUCUGGCCGAGCUAGGCGAUAGGGAGGGCGGCGGGCGGCGGCGCACGGAUCUCGGCGGGGAACGGCUGCAUAGGUUGCAGCUCUGGCCGAGCUAUGCCAUGGGGAGGGCGGCGGCUUGCGGAUCUCGGCGGGAGACGGCUGGGUGCGGGGGCUUCGGCCCUCGGGGCUUCGAUCUGAUUACAGAAGAUGGGCGUUGACGAGGAGAUCUUCGUCGUGGACCUCAAGAAGGGCGUCGUCUUCACAGGUUGUCCCUACUAUCUAUACAGAUAUCAGGGGGCGAAAGAUUCACUCAAAUCAGUUUCUGUGACGGAGCACUUUAGAGAAGCAAUUGGCCUUCCAAGGCCCCCGCCCGGUGUAUAUUUCUUCUACGAAUUUUCGCCAAUUCAGGUUGAUUUUACUGAAGAAAACACAUCGCUUCUUCACUUCUUGACAAACAUAUGUGCGAUUCUUGGAGGAAUAUUCACCGUGGCUGGCAUCAUAGAUUCAUUUGUGUACCAUGGUCAUCGUGCAAUCAAGAAGAAGAUGGAGAUCGAAAAGCUCGGGUAGGGUAAUUCCAAGUGGAGCAGCUUGUAGCCAGCCAGCCAGUAGGACGGUAGCCAAGAACUGAGCUGCCCUGGAAAGGCGAGCACAGAGCUCAGGAGGAAUUUUGGUCAAGAAUACUAUAUUAUUGUAAUGCAGUUCCUACUCACUCGACUUUUGCUGGUAUAAUUAUUUGAUUCCAGACGUGCCAAUCAUAGAGGUUUAUUCUUUCUUACUCUCUUGUGUAAGCAACUGGAUCGCAGUGUUUGUCUUAUAGCAGUUCAAAGUCUUGUGUAACAAUACUACAUACACAAAACCCUCAACUCAAACGGUUGCUGAAAACUCCAUUUUGAUCUGUUCCGCUUCUGCCGUA